AUUGAACGCUGGCGGCAGGCCUAACACAUUCAAGUCGAAACGGUAACAGGAUAGCUUGCUAUCGCUGACGAGUGGCGGACGGGUGAGUAAUACUUAGGGAUCUGCCUCUGUGUGGGGGAUAACUAUUGGAAACGAUAGCUAAUACCGCAUAAUGUCUACGGACCAAAGAGGGCUUUUAGCUCUCGCGCAGAGAGGAACCUAAGCGAGAUUAGCUAGUUGGUGAGGUAAAGGCUCACCAAGGCGACGAUCUCUAGCUGUUCUGAGAGGAAGAUCAGCCACACUGGAACUGAGACACGGUCCAGACUCCUACGGGAGGCAGCAGUGGGGAAUAUUGCACAAUGGGGGAAACCCUGAUGCAGCCAUGCCGCGUGUGUGAAGAAGGCCUUCGGGUUGUAAAGCACUUUCAGUUGUGAGGAAAGUUUAGUAGUUAAUACCUGCUAGAUGUGACGUUAGCAACAGAAGAAGCACCGGCUAACUCCGUGCCAGCAGCCGCGGUAAUACGGAGGGUGCGAGCGUUAAUCGGAAUUACUGGGCGUAAAGCGCACGCAGGCGGUCUGUUAAGCUAGAUGUGAAAGCCCCGCGCUCAACGUGGGAGGGUCAUUUAGAACUGGCAGACUAGAGUCUUGGAGAGGGGAGUGGAAUUCCAGGUGUAGCGGUGAAAUGCGUAGAGAUCUGGAGGAACAUCAAUGGCGAAGGCAACUCCCUGGCCAAAGACUGA
rnacentral:rRNA from 1 species